CCUUUGACGUUAGCGGCGGACGGGUGAGUAACACGUGGGUAACCUACCUAUAAGACUGGGAUAACUUCGGGAAACCGGAGCUAAUACCGGAUAAUAUUUCGAACCGCAUGGUUCUAUAGUGAAAGAUGGUUUUGCUAUCACUUAUAGAUGGACCCGCGCCGUAUUAGCUAGUUGGUAAGGUAACGGCUUACCAAGGCGACGAUACGUAGCCGACCUGAGAGGGUGAUCGGCCACACUGGAACUGAGACACGGUCCAGACUCCUACGGGAGGCAGCAGCU
rnacentral:rRNA from 1 species